AAGUCGUAACAAGGUUUCCGUAGGUGAACCUGCGGAAGGAUCAUUCGUGUAUUGUAAAGUAAAGCGUGUUGAUGUGAUGCUCUACAUGUUGUUACUGUGCUGUUGGUGGGCCACUCCAGGACACUCUACACUGCGGUAUCCGGCAUUGUUUGAACCCAUCCGUCCUCAUGUCUAAACUCACACAUGUGUGCACCGUAAUUAGAGAUAAUAGUGACUGUGUGGUUGGUGUCCGACUCCGUGUCGGGUGCCUCUGCCAGUCCUAUGGUUUAUUGAACACUAUCAUUUUGAUACCACUUGACUGAGAACCGAUCGUAAGAGUGUAACGUAAUGCCUUGAGAAUACUUUUAGCAAUGGAUCUCUUGGCUCCU
rnacentral:misc_RNA from 1 species